AUACUUACCUGGCAGGGAAGAUACCAUGAUCAGGAAAGUGGUUUUCCUAGGAUGAGGCUCAUCCAUUGCACUCUGGGUGUGCUGACCCCUGCGAUUUCUGCAAACACAGGAAACUCAACUGCAUAAUUUGUGGCAGUGGGGGACAGCGUUCGCACUUGCCCCUG
rnacentral:snRNA from 1 species